rnacentral:rRNA from 2 species
CAAUGCCCUCUGGGCUCACUGGUGAAUCAUGAUAACUUCGCGAAUCGCAUGGCCUUGUGCCGGCGAUGGCUCAUUCAAAUUUCUUCCCUAUCAACUUUCGAUGUUUGGGUAGUGGCCAAACAUGGUUGCAACGGGUAACGGAGGGUUAGGGCUCGACCCCGGAGAAGGAGCCUGAGAAACGGCUACUACAUCCAAGGAAGGCAGCAGGCGCGCAAAUUACCCAAUCCCGAUUCGGGGAGGUAGUGACAAUAAAUACUGAUACAGGGCUCUUUUGGGUCUUGUAAUUGGAAUGAGUACAAUUUAAAUCCCUUAACGAGGAACAAUUAGAGGGCAAGUCUGGUGCCAGCAGCCGCGGUAAUUCCAGCUCUAAUAGCGUAUAUUAAAGUUGUUGUGGUUAAAAAGCUCGUAGUUGAACCUUGGGCCUGGCUGGCGGGUCCGCCUCACCGCGUGUACUUCGCCGGCCGGGCCUUUCCCUCUGUGGAACCCUAUGCCCUUCACUGGGUGUGGUGGGGAAACAGGACUUUUACUUUGAAAAAAUUAGAGUGCUCCAGGCAGGCCUAUGCUCGAAUAUAUUAGCAUGGAAUAAUAAAAUAGGACGUGUGGUUCUAUUUUGUUGGUUUCUAGGACCGCCGUAAUGAUUAAUAGGGACAGCCGGGGGCAUCAGUAUUCAAUUGUCAGAGGUGAAAUUCUUGGAUUUAUUGAAGACUAACUACUGCGAAAGCAUUUGCCAAGAAUGUUUUCAUUAAUCAGGAACGAAAGUUAGGGGAUCGAAGACGAUCAGAUACCGUCGUAGUCUUAACCAUAAACUAUGCCGACUAGGGA